rnacentral:lncRNA from 1 species
AGUUUUCCAACCCAUCACUAGAUCCAGGUAGCCUAUCUGCUCCCCGCCAAAAAACUUCUUGCCUUCAAUUUGCUUCUCGAUAAAUGCAUACAAUUCUUGUACUGACUCUAUAGUUUUUGCUUUUGCCUCUCCUUCAUCUUGCAUUGCCAUAGCUUGCCAUGAUCCUAUGACACACUGAACAUGAAAAUUAACACAAUCAGAAAGCUAUCAUUUAGUCAUUUGCUAUUCUUGUCUAUGAUAUUUUAUCAGAUGCAUUAACUUGUAUAGCAUGAUUUCUUAACCAUUAAAUUGUUGUCAAUUGCAUUCUUCACACCAAAUUACUUGAAAUGGUUCCAUAUAUUAGAUUGCAGUUGACUGAAGAUCAUGUUUAUGGUCUCAUAAUUUAAGUUAUGAACGUUACUGUCUUAGUACAUAUAUCUGCUAGCUUUUGUACAACAACAUAUCCAGUGUAGUCAUACACAGUGGGGUCUGUGGAGGGUAGUGUGUACGCAGACCUUACCUCUACCUCAUAAGUGACAAAAAACAGUCUAGGAAUUAAUCUGCUAAGUUUUUGUAUGCCUUAUAAUAUGAAGAAUUGGAUUAUGCCAAGAAAGAAAAUCUUACCUUGUCAUCAACAAAUUUUGCCCAGAAACGAGCUGUAGCUCGUUCAUGAGGAUCCUGAGGCAACAAAGAGUAUCCUUUCCAUGUUUCAUCAAUAUAUUCAAGGAUAACAAGUGAUUCAACGACGGGUUUGUCAUCGUGUAGUAGGACAGGGAUCUUCUUAUGAACAGGAUUGGACUUGAUGAGCAACUCACUCUUGUUCAAUAAAUCUUCUUGUAUAUAUUCAUAGUCAACUCCCUUGAGCUUCAAAGCCCAUUCUACUCUGGUGCAAAAUAAGCUUCCUGAUGACCCUAUCAACUUCACUUCUCCCAUUUUUCAAUGAAAAAUCUAUAGAAUUGGCUGUGACUGAUACAAUUUGUUUGAAUAUUUUGCUUUACUCUCUAGUCUUUAUAUGCAUUAAUAUAGUCUCAUGACGAAGGUGCUAUGAUGGAACCACAAGUAUAAAAAUAAAAUCUUUUAUUUCUUCCAUAAAUCGAAAAAUCUAACACGACUCAUUCAACUUGUAUUUUUUAAUUAGGUGUUCAUACUCUUUUUGGUCUAUUUAUCAUGUUUGACUUUUGCAUGUCCCUUAAAAUAGUUUUACUAAAAGGAUUUAAAUUACCUUUGUUUAAUCUUUUACUCUAUUUAAUCUAUUGCAGUCAUGUUCCAACAAUCGAAUAUCCAAAAAUAUAUAUUCGUUGCAUCAAAAAGGAGAAAGAAAUGGCAUUCCUUGCCGUUUUCCCUCUAUAGUCCAUUUGAAGUAGUUUAUAAAUUUAAGAGACUUUUUGGAUGUUACGAUCGAGUUUAUAUUUCCAUCGUAGCGAACACACCCAACGAAUAUGCGUUAUUUCUGCAAUUUGUGUAUAUAUUAUAGUGGAC